GGGGGGAGGUCGGAUCCUGGGCUGUGUCCCCGCGCCCUGUGCUCCCGGGCCUGUGCUGUUGGAUUCGCUCUCUGGCCGGGCAGCCGCCG
rnacentral:pre_miRNA from 1 species